GAGCUCUGUAGUAGAGCAUCUGUUUUUGCAUGCAGAAGGUCUCAGGUUCAAUCCCUGGUAUCUCCA